rnacentral:rRNA from 1 species
CAAAGGAGCAAUCCGCUGAAAGAUGGGCUCGCGUCCGAUUAGGUAGUUGGCGGGGCAACGGCCCACCAAGCCGACGAUCGGUAGCCGGACUGAGAGGUUGAACGGCCACAUUGGGACUGAGACACGGCCCAGACUCCUACGGGAGGCAGCAGUGAGGGAUAUUGGUCAAUGGGGGAAACCCUGAACCAGCAACGCCGCGUGAGGGAAGACGGUUUUCGGAUUGUAAACCUCUGUCCUCUGUGAAGAUAAUGACGGUAGCAGAGGAGGAAGCUCCGGCUAACUACGUGCCAGCAGCCGCGGUAAUACGUAGGGAGCAAGCGUUGUCCGGAUUUACUGGGUGUAAAGGGUGCGUAGGCGGCUUUGCAAGUCAGAAGUGAAAUCCAUGGGCUUAACCCAUGAACUGCUUUUGAAACUGCAGAGCUUGAGUGGAGUAGAGGUAGGCGGAAUUCCCGGUGUAGCGGUGAAAUGCGUAGAGAUCGGGAGGAACACCAGUGGCGAAGGCGGCCUGCUGGGCUCUAACUGACGCUGAGGCACGAAAGCGUGGGUAGUAAACAGGAUUAGAUACCCUGGUAGUCCACGCUGUAAACGAUGAUUACUAGGUGUGGGUGGACUGACCCCAUCC